ensembl:lncRNA
AAACUAAAUAUAUUUGCAUAUAUUUAUGCAAAUAUAAAAAUAGAAAUUUGCAUAAAACAAUGGAAUAUUCUAUUAAACAGAAAUGAACAAUGCAAAUGUAAACAUCUGAACAGUCUAAUUAACAAACAAACAAGUGAACAAUGAAAUUGUAAACAAUUUCAAAAAUCUGAACUUUCUCAAAUAACAAACAAACAAACAACAACAACAAAAACUGGUACAAAUCCUUAAGAUAAUACAUUAACAAAAUGUUGGCAGAAUUUUGCAUUCAGAAAAAGAUCCAAUGUCACUAGCAACAUUGUUUGGCACAAAAUGAUUAUUUUUUUAUUUUAUUUUUUUUUAGCUACAAAGACAUCAGAAGUUCUUUUUAAUGAGACAAAGAUUUGAACUGUCUGAGCGAUUGGUGGCAAAGCAACAAAACUAAAUCUGACUUUUUGCAAAUGCGCAUCAACACAGUGCUACGACCACAUGUUGUGAUCUUUCUCAAAGUUGAAAAUCUUACAAAGGGAUACAGUUAUUCACUGUUAGUAACCAAAUGAAGUUUAAUUAGACUUGCUGCGACACAUUUGGAAACGAUUCACAGCACAGCGUCUUUCUCCUGCACACUGUCAUGUAAGCUAUUAUUAACCUGGAGUUUGACAUCUUUGUUUGAAUAGUUGACAGAGUCUGAGCGCUGCUUCCAUUCACUGUCAUUCGGCUCUGUCUCUGACUCACUGAAUAAAUGAACUCUUCGCCUCUUCCCACAUUGUGCUCACGGGUCACUUGUCAAACUGUAAGCAGUCCUGCGAGCAGAAAUAGCCGGGCCGGUUCGCUCUGGCCCAGCAGGUUUUUGAGAGCAGUCCAGCCGAACACACAUCUCAUGCUGAGCAUCUGGAUAAAGGUGAAAUCAUCAUUUCAUAGGAAUCUGCACCAUCUGAAGGUAGAUCACUGUGAACGACCCACAAGAACUGAAUGGUAUUUUUUUGGUUGACCCAUGUCUGAGUCCAAUAUAACUGAGAUUUACCCAGCAAGCUGUCCAGCAAACACACCGAGGAGGGCAGUGAGUGAUCCCAUGAAUUCUCAUGCACCGGGCACACGGUUCUGCAUCAAAUCUACUGACUCUGGCACAACUUGAAGAGAAACACGUUUAUACAAAUAAUUAAACCCAACAACAAGUGUUUAGGCUGGAGACCAAACGAGAUGGUAAUGUAUUCCACAUGUUGGUAUCAGGCUUCAAAUACGGUGCUAUAUGAUUGUGCCUUUCAGCAUAUGUCUAAAAAGAGAAGAAAAUACUUGAUUUCCAUUUGCCAUAAAAUCACCAGACACAACAGCCAAACAAGUCAGAAAAACUGGUAGGCCUGCGUUUACAAACACAAAUAUUAUUGAGUGCAGAACCAAUAAAUCUGCAGCUCAGAGGCCA